AGCCUCCCUUUUGCAGACAGAUCUGAGCGAUCUUGCCCGAAACGUGGAGGAGCUGUCUGUGUUGCCAGACAUCUGUCAGCUGACACAGCAGUGGCGUGCCAUACAGGAGUGUGGUAAAAGGAUGGCAGAGUUGGAAAGCAGAGUUAAUGACCUGCAGAGGACAAGAGAAACACAGGAAACCAUUCCAGCAGGGCCCACUUUUACUGCAGCUGCCGCUUUGAAAGACCUCUUCAGCCUCAGGUCAAUUUUUAAUCAGAAGAAAGAAGAAUGUGCAGAAACAGCCGCAGAGACCAUAAGAGGGCUCAUCAGAGAUCUUCAACAGUGGAACCAAGCGGUACAAGAUCAGACGUCACCCAGUCAGGUUGCUCUGGAUAAAGGUUUCCAGCUUCAGCGGGCACUUGGCGGCGUUCUCGCCCAGCAGAACCUUCUGGUAAAUUGUCUGGGUGAAGAAGUGACGACCACCCUGAUGAAAAGUGCCUCAGAGGUUCUGAAUGAAAGCCAACGAGAAAGGGAUUCUGUUUCCAAACG